ensembl:ncRNA M110.12 ncRNA
UAUUAAAAUAUUCAAAAGAUCUCAUAAAAUUGUGAGGGCGCAGACAUAAAAUACUAAUUGGAUGGCGUAUAGGCAAGAGUCUCUUGAAUUUUUGAAGAUGGGGUCACUAAUU